UACGUAGGUGGCGAGCGUUGUCCGGAAUUACUGGGUGUAAAGCGCGUGUAGGCGGGAGGCCAAGUCCGCUGUGAAAUCGCCCGGCUCAACUGGGCGGGGUCGGUGGAAACUGGUCACCUGGAGGACGGUAGAGGCGAGUGGAAUUCCCGGUGUAGUGGUGAAAUGCGUAGAGAUCGGGAGGAACACCAGUGGCGAAGGCGGCUCGCUGGGCCGGACCUGACGCUGAGACGCGAAGGCGUGGGGAGCGAACGGG
rnacentral:rRNA from 1 species